ACGGGUGAGGAACACGUGGGUAUCUACCUUGAGGUGAGGAAUACCACCGGGAAACCGGUGACAAUACCGCAUGCACUUCCUUUCGAGGAAGCAAAGCUUCGCAAGAGGCGCCACAAGAUGAGCCUGCGGCCGAUUAGCUAGCUGGUGGGGUAAAGGCCUACCAGGGCGACGAUCGGUAGCUGGUCUGAGAGGACGGACAGCCACACUGGGAUUGAGAACGGCCCAGACUCCUACGGGGGGCAGCAGUGAGGAAUUUUCGGCAAUGGGGGAAACCCUGACCGAGCAACGCCGCGUGCAGGAAGACGGCCUUCGGGUUGUAAACUGCUUUUCUCUGGGACGAGAACGGACGGUACCAGAGGAAUCAGCCUCGGCUAACUACGUGCCAGCAGCCGCGGUAAUACGUAGGAGGCGAGCGUUGUCCGGAGUUAUUGGGCGUAAAGCGCAUGCAGGCGGUCAUCUAAGUUCGUGAUGACAGUUCCCGGCUCAACUGGGGAAGUGUUACGAAGACUGGGUGACUUGAGGGCUUCAGAGGGAUGUGGAACUCCGGGUGGAGUGGUGAAAUGCGUAGA
rnacentral:rRNA from 1 species